rnacentral:rRNA from 1 species
GACGAACGCUGGCGGCGUGCUUAACACAUGCAAGUCGAACGGAAAGGCCCUGCUUUUGUGGGGUGCUCGAGUGGCGAACGGGUGAGUAACACGUGAGUAACCUGCCCUUGACUUUGGGAUAACUUCAGGAAACUGGGGCUAAUACCGGAUAGGAGCUCCUGCUGCAUGGUGGGGGUUGGAAAGUUUCGGCGGUUGGGGAUGGAUGCGCGGCUUAUCAGCUUGUUGGUGGGGUAGUGGCUUACCAAGGCUUUGACGGGUAGCCGGCAUGGGAGGGUGACCGGCCACAAUGGGACUGAGAUACGGCCCAGACUCCUACGGGAGGCAGCGGUGGGGAAUAUUGCACAAUGGGCGGAAGCCUGAUGCAGCAACGCCGCGUGCGGGAUGACGGCCUUCGGGUUGUAAACCGCUUUCGCCUGUGACGAAGCGUGAGUGACGGUAAUGGGUAAAGAAGCACCGGCUAACUACGUG